UUACACCUGACAGAUGUCUGCUCACACCAGAUCGUCUUGA
rnacentral:tRNA from 1 species